AAUGAACGCUGGCGGCAUGCCUUACACAUGCAAGUCGAACGGCAGCAUGACCUAGCUUGCUAGGUUGAUGGCGAGUGGCGAACGGGUGAGUAAUGCAUCGGAACGUGCCUUUUAGUGGGGGAUAACGUAGCGAAAGUUACGCUAAUACCGCAUAUUCUCUGAGGAGGAAAGCAGGGGACCGUCGGGCCUUGCGCUAGAAGAGCGGCCGAUGUCGGAUUAGCUAGUUGGUGAGGUAAAGGCUCACCAAGGCAACGAUCCGUAGCGGGUCUGAGAGGAUGAUCCGCCACACUGGGACUGAGACACGGCCCAGACUCCUACGGGAGGCAGCAGUGGGGAAUUUUGGACAAUGGGCGCAAGCCUGAUCCAGCCAUGCCGCGUGAGUGAAGAAGGCCUUCGGGUUGUAAAGCUCUUUCGGCUGGGAAGAAAUCGCACCCUCUAAUACAGGGUGUGGAUGACGGUACCAGCAUAAGAAGCACCGGCUAACUACGUG
rnacentral:rRNA from 1 species